GGAGUCUAUCCUGGCCCGUGUUCACCUCGUUGUGAACCGAUGGCUACUGGAUGGCUUCUAACCUUUCUGGGGAUCCAGUCUGCACUUUAUUGUGUGGGCUGGGGUAACCAGGACUUUUACCUUGAAAAAAUUAGAGUGUUCAAAGCAGGCAUUUCGCUUGAAUACAUUAGCAUGGAAUAAUAGAAUAGGACCUGGGUUCUAUUUUGUUGGUUUCUAGGACCAAGGUA
rnacentral:rRNA from 1 species